rnacentral:rRNA from 1 species
AGAGUUUGAUCAUGGCUCAGAUUGAACGCUGGCGGAAUGCUUUACACAUGCAAGUCGAACGGCAGCACGGACUUCGGUCUGGUGGCGAGUGGCGAACGGGUGAGUAAUACAUCGGAACGUGCCCAGUCGUGGGGGAUAACGUAGCGAAAGUUACGCUAAUACCGCAUACGAUCUAAGGAUGAAAGCGGGGGACCGUAAGGCCUCGCGCGAUUGGAGCGGCCGAUGUCAGAUUAGGUAGUUGGUGGGGUAAAGGCUCACCAAGCCAACGAUCUGUAGCUGGUCUGAGAGGACGACCAGCCACACUGGAACUGAGACACGGUCCAGACUCCUACGGGAGGCAGCAGUGGGGAAUUUUGGACAAUGGACGCAAGUCUGAUCCAGCCAUUCCGCGUGCAGGAUGAAGGCCCUCGGGUUGUAAACUGCUUUUGUACGGAACGAAAAGGCUCUUCCUAAUACGAGGGGCUCAUGACGGUACCGUAAGAAUAAGCACCGGCUAACUACGUGCCAGCAGCCGCGGUAAU